GCCUGGGUGGCUCAGUUGGUUAAGCAUCUGACUUCGGCUCAGGUCAUGAUCUCACAGUUUGUGAGUUUGAGCCUCGUUUUGGGCU
rnacentral:tRNA from 1 species